rnacentral:rRNA from 1 species
CUGCAGCUCAAGUGGUGGCCGCUAUUAUUGGGCCUAAAACGUCCGUAGCCGGUUUAGUAAAUGCCUGGGUAAAUCGUGUAGCUUAACUAUACGACUUCCGGGUAGACUGCUAGACUUGGGACCGGGAGAGGCUAGAGGUACUCCUGGGGUAGAGGUGAAAUUCUGUAAUCCUAGGGGGACCACCAGUGGCGAAGGCGUCUAGCUAGAACGGGUCUGACGGUGAGGGACGAAGCCCUGGGGCGCAAACCGGAUUAGAGACCCGCGUAGUCC